ACACACACACACACACACACACAGCAGUGAUGGGAUAAAAUACGACGCAGUCAUGAACUUGCAGUGCAGCGAGGACUGUGGAGGUUGACAGCCAGCCAAGUAGCCUACAUGUCAGUCUGAAGCGAGGAGUGUGAGCGAGCUUCCAUAAUUAUUAGCUGGAUGUUUUUUUUUUUUUUUUAAGCCUGAGAAGAAGGAGACGGAAGAAUGUUUUCAACAGCAGACUCCCAAAAUGUGAACAUGCGAGGAUCAGGGCCCAUAAAUGAAUACCUUUCUAAAUGACAGUUCUACACUUGACAAGGACACAAUGACUUACAGCCCUUUUGGAAAUACUGCAGAAUUUUUGCACAGUGUUCAAAAUGUAUAAGGGGAUGGAUUGCAACUCAGACACAUACUAAAUAUAUGAUCAAAACAUAGGUAAAGAAAUCCAGAGGAAAAGAAAAACUGCCCCACAGAGGAUGGAUUGGACAUUCUAUCAAAUGUCAAAAUAGAGAGUAUAAAGUGGUAUAAAGAGGAUUAAAGCUAAAUAGCUGUAAAGAGCACUGCCCAUAACAAUUCCAUAACCAGCAAGAACAACAGAAAGCCAUUGGGCAAAUAAAACCCUAUUAUGGAUUAGAAGGAAGUUACAACAUUGUAACGAGGGACUCAACCUCUGCCUUCCUGGCCAAGAUGAGUGUUUCUAAGCCCAGUGAGGGUUUCCUUCUCAGGGGGGAAAAUGGAUCCAGCAUGAGGCUCUCUCUUCACAGAGCAGGAGACCACAAUGGGAAUGCUUUACCUAUUGCCUCUUCCUCCUCCUCCUCUUCCUGCUCUUCCUCCUGUCUGGGGGAGUCGUCUCCUGAGUCCCUGCGGAGUCUGAGCAGCCUCAGUGGGGGCAGGACUGACAGCCCACUGGAUUAUGACAUGUUUGAGGUAACCCUGAUGGCGACAGAGAUGACCAAAACAGACAAAAUGACAGAUCUUGUAAUUUCAAAAUGGGUGCCAGAGAAGGAAGGUAAACCAGAUGACAAUGAUGAUGUCCCUGUGGGAAAGAUACAAACAGCAACAGAGCUAUCAGAAUCAAACGACAACUCUGAGUCUGUUUAUCUGGACGCAAACAGCUGUGAACACCGCCAAGACACCUGGGAUGACAAUGACAAACUGACUCUGGCCCUAUCCCAGGUGACAAACAGCAGUAGCCGUUACAAUAAUGAUGAACUCAGCAGUGGAAGCAGUAAUGGGCGAAGACAUGGCUCCUCAACACCAGACUCAGACGUAACAGAAAUCCCUGCUGAUGAUGAUGAAGAGGAGACUUUGUUUCUGUCUGUGAGCUCUGACAUGGGCGUGAGGAGAAGCAGCAUGACCCUUACAAGCUCAACUAGUCAACUCAGCGACACCCUGAUGAACCCAGGUGGCUCUGCUGUGACAACAGAGUGGGCGCUGGCUGUGAGUGGAGCUGAUGAUGAGAGCUCAGAGCUGGUGGUAGAAGGGUUUGGAGUUCGCUGUCCCCUUGGUCUACCUGUGGAAAGCCAGACAGAGCCUCCUGCUUCUGAGGACCUUUGUGAAACCACCCAGAUAUUGUCUUCAUCUCUCUCUUUUACCAAUCUAGAUAAGGAUCCUAAUGAAGUCCUAUCUCCUCCACCUGAGGAAGCUGAAAGAUGUGCAGUUAGCCCCAAGCCCUCCCGACCUACCACCAGUCGGCCAGCCAGAGCAGCAAAAACCAAACCAACCAUUGCUGCUUCAACUGCUCCAAAGACAGCUGUGUUCACAGCCAUCAGACCUCCCAGUGUGGAAACAAAAAGAGUUUCCAAACUGGAUCUAAAAGAUGUUGAGGCUAAAGUUGGAUCACGGUCCACCCUGUCUCUACCUAAAACACCCAACCAGCAGAACAAAUCUGCGCCAGCCAAUGGAAGGAGAGUUGUUACUAGGAAGGAGGAAGCACAGACUGGGGAUGGGGGUGAAAAGCAAAGGUCAUCUGCAGAUCCAGUCAAAGUGGCUGUGGUGCAGAAAUCCAUUAGAGUAAAGUGCAGUCACCUCAAAACCAACCACAAUGGCUCUGCUCAGCCAGAGAGGAAGAGUUUGGCCAUCAGUCAAACUCUCUCUACUUCAACCAGCUCUCUGGGGUCUGAGUUGGUUGAGGAAGGACCCCUGGACACUACCAAGAAAGCUGUCCAGGAAGUGCCUGAUAAACACGAAACUGGAGGUGUGGAGACUAAACAUCCAAGUGAAGAUGCUCACAGAGGUAUUGAAAAGGCUUUAAAGACGGAGGCUGCUGUGGAAAAACCAAGGAAUCCUAGCAGGAAAGUCUCCUCCAAGCUGGGGCCCAGUGCCAGGCAGCAGGGGAGAGGCACCAGAGUGGAUAAGGGGCCCUCAGGACCAGCCCCACCCCCAGGGUCAGUGACAGGGACUGGACCUCCAGGACAUGGGAGCCCUGGGCCCAGGCAAACCCAGAGUGAUGGCUCCACAUUGGGAGAGGGUGAACAGAGCGCUGGGGGUGGAUCUCCAACAAGGCAAAGCCAAAGUCAGAGCCAGGGUAUCCCCAAACCUCGCACCAAUGCAGAGCGAGCAUCCGUUUUGGCUGUUCCAGAUCCCGCAACGUCCAACUCCAAACCAACAGCUAAUCAGCAGCCAGCAUUGGGGGCGGUCAAACGAACUGCCACACCCGCCACAUCAAAACUUCCUGUGAAAGGAUUACCCACAAGCCUCAGUUCUUCAGCACUAGGAUCUGAGAUCAGUGGAGCCAUAAGCAAAGGAGCUCCAGCACCCACAGGGACCAAGCCAGAUGAGCAGCCCAGCAAAAGCACACUUCCUGUGGGCAACCAGUGCACGGCAAAGCCCCUCAUCUCCAGCACUGCAGCUACCACCAGUACCAAUACUCCUAGUGACGCAGUUCCCAGUGGCAUCACUGCCGCUCCAAAGCCUCCUGCACUGAGGAGCAGAGCUCUGUCACUGCAGGCCAGGACCACUGCUACAGGUCUGAAGACCCCGACAGUCACCAGCCACAACACAGCCAAGACAGCAGCUGCCAAUCAAAUAGCAGCAAAGACAGCUCCUGCUGCCAAUCAGGGCCUGACCAAGCAGGUAUCCCAGUAUCCCUUGCAAAGAAGCGGCUCAGCAAGACUCAGUCGACUGAACAGCGCAGUGGACAAAAACAAGCCUCGGGAGGCACCGGCAAGACCAACAAACACCAACAGCAGCUCACAGGUAGCAGCACCUGGAGGAGGAAACAGCCAGAAAAAGCACCAAGCUCCACCUGACCUGGUACCAGAGGUGGUGAAUGCUAAUGCAGCAGUGACAGCAGUUGUCCCAGUACCAGAAACAGAAACCACCAACACUGGGUCAGGCACCACUGGAGCCUCUUGUCUUGGGUUUAAAGCAAAAAACGGGUCAAGAUCCAGCCCCAAAACAGGAUCCCGCCUACAGAAUGCAUCCAAGCCUGGCACAGCCGGGACUGUUGUGGCAGACCGGAUGGUCACUGCUAAACAGAACCAGAACAAAGAGCAGGCAGAGAAGAAGAACCAGGCCAUCAACCAGCUGAGAAGGAUGCUUGUCCAGGGGAAUAAGAGAGUGGAGGCUCUGGCUACAGUCAUCCAGCAUCUCUUCACUGAGCGCGAGGAGGCUUUGAAGCAGAAGAAGGGGUUGUCACUGGAACUGGCAAACCUCCGAGAGGAGCUGGUUUCAUCAUCACAGUGCUGCGACCGACUGCAGAAGGAGAAGGAGGAAGUGCGCGUUAGCUUGGAGGAGGCCUUGAACAGGCAGGAGGAGCACCACAAGGAGGAGCUAGUGCAGCUGGAGGACAGAUUGAGGAGCUUUUACCAAACAGAGUGGGACAAAGUCCACCAGACAUACCAGGAGGAGGCUGACAAAUGCCGCAUGUUAAUGGAACAGCAGGUGGAGGAGCUGAGGAGCCAACAGGAAGCAGAGAGAAAGAAUCAGGAAGUGAGUCACAGCCAGCAUAUGGAGUCUCUCAAACUGGAGUAUGAGACCUCAACACAAGAGCUAAAGAGGAUCCAGCAGACAGACCUGGAGAACCUGAAUAAAACUCUGAAGGAGACUGAAACAUCUCUCUCUGAGAAAAUAUCUGAGCUGUCAGCAGAGAAGGCGGCUCUGAAUGAGAAGCUGAAAGCAGAGGAGGAGAGGAGGAAGCAAAUACUCACUGACAAAAAUCUGAAGGACUCCCACACAGUCUACCUGGAGCAGGAGCUGGAGAGUCUUAAGGUGGUGUUGGAGAUCAAGAACAACCAGCUGCACCAUAAGGAGAAGAAGCUCAUGGAAAUGGACAAACUAUUGGAGACUAAUGUGAAACUGCAGGAGUGUCUGACGAAGGUCCAACAGGAGAACGAGGACUACAAGGCCAGGAUGGACAAACACGCUGCUCUCUCCAAGCAGCUGUCCAGUGAACAGGCCAUUCUCCAGCAGACGCUGCAGAAAGAGUCCAAGGUCAACAAGCGUCUGUCCAUGGAGAAUGAGGAGCUGCUGUGGAAGCUGCACAACGGUGACCUGCUGGCGAGCCCGCGCCGCCUCUCACCCACCUCACCCUUCAACUCACCACGGAACUCUGCCUCCUUCACCACAACUGCACCUGUAUCGCCCAGAUAACCCCAACAACAAGCGACGACCCCUUCCUCCUCCUGCUUCUCCUCAUAACUUUUACAAGCCUCGCAGAGCUGUUCCAAAUACAGAGGAAGACUUCAGUCACAGCGGUGUUGGAUGUUAAUGAUAAACUUGUACAUUUGGAAUAAAUUGCAUUAAAGACGCUUAUUUUGAAAGAGAAAAGACAUUGCAGUGGCACCGAUGCACUUCAGUCUGAGAGUGGGACUGGCCUUGUUCUCUACCAAAUGCCUGGUUCUUCAACAAACCUUUCUUCUUUUUCUGAAGAAAACAUAAAUAAACAGGCACACCUCAGGGUCUGUACAUGGCGCCUCACUCUCGUUUUGACUAUUACUACCUUUUAUUUCUAAAAUGUUGUACAGUUUAAGUCAAAUGUGUAAAAAAAAAACAAAAAAAAACAGGAAGCUUUUCAGCUCUAGUAAGGAGACGCGUUGCUUCCAAACUUGCCUUCAGCCUAUUGGCCAUGAGGAACAUCAAUGAUGUUGCCUGCAGCUUUUCUGGAAUCACGUUGUCCCGGUAACGGCGCAAUUACCAGUGGCGGAUGUUCGAGGUCAGCGGCUCGUACCAUCAUAACUACGGAUUUGAUGGAGUACCACCAACCGUGCCAUGUGUACCACACCACCCCGUCGUCCGCCAUUGCUUGGUACGGCCCUUUGUAGUAGUGACCAUUCAAGUUGCCUGAAUCACACCUGUGAUGAGGAAGUAAAAGGAAAAAAAGAUUAGACAUAUAUACUCUCAUUUGUGUUUGUAUAUUGCCAUUUUUAACUUUUCUCCCUUUAUUUUCCAUUAUUAAUUUGCAUGUUGUUCUUAUAAUGUUGUUUGGCAUAAUUGAAUUGAAUGCCACAGUGAGACUGAAGCUGAAGUAUCAGUCUAUUACCUGCUGAACCACCAGCCUGACUUGCUGUGUCUGAUACACCUAGCGUCACCGUCAUUCUUGUGGUCAUAGGUGCUGAACUUGACCCCGCUUGAGCCCAAGCCUGGACUGGUCCAUUUCUGCCCAGCAAAGGGGGGCCCAUCAGCCAGGGCAUUCCCUGCAUUCCCAGUGUACUCGCUCACAUGUAAUUGGUACUGGUCCUUUCCGUGAACAGGGGAGUAAAAGCAAAGAGUUUUGAAUAAAUCGUUGAUGUUG